GGCAAUAAAAAGAGGUAUGUGCCUGUAAAUCUCACUGUGUCUCAAUUUCUUCAUCUUGUACAGUGGGGAUUACUCCCCCAGUUAUUAGGAUAAAUGAGUGUUUAGCACAGCCUGACAGAUUCAAGCUUUUUAAAAAUAUAGCUGUAGUCACUCAUUUCCCAAACACACAGGCAUACCCCACUGGUACCCAACCAGGUCCACAUGUAUACACAAAGAUCCAAACAUAAACCCACUUCUGGUUACAGAUGGAUAAACAGCUUUGGGGUUCCAAGUUAAAUUCAGUCAAUCAUGAUUCCCUCUACCCCAAUCUUCCAUCUUCCCAUGUUUCAUCUCAACGAAAUGGCACCAUCUUUGCACCCAGCAUACUAAGCUCAAAUCCUAGGAAUUAAUUUUGAUUCCUCACUUUCUUGCAACACCUUCGUAUGAUGUCACCAGACAGCCCUGAAGAUUCUACUUCCUAAACAUUAUCUUGAAUCUGUCCACCACUUCUCUCCAGCUCUUCCGUUCUAACUGAAGCCUAGGUCACCACCAACUUGAAAUUAUAUAGCAUCCAAAAGCCUUACCCAACUUAGCACUGCUUUCUGUAGUCAAGUCUGACUCAGAGAGGCCCCACGGGACAGAGUAGAACUGCCCCACAGAGUUUCUGAGGAGCAGCUGGUGGAUUAACUGCUAACCUUUUAGUUAGCAGUCAAGCUCUUAACCACUAUGCCACCAGGGCUCUGCUUUCUCUAUUACAUCCUCCAAUUCCUUCUCUGCAUAGCAGUUACAACAGUGGCUCGCAUCCCCAGCUGCCACAGGAAUCAACACAGAGCUUUAAAAGAAAAACAAAAAUAAACAACAACCACCACAACAAAACACUGUUUCUAUAACUCACCUGGGAUGUGAUCUGGGAAUCAGGAUGUUUAAAAGUUUCCCAGGUGAUUUUAAUGUGCAGGCAGAGUUAAGAACCACUGAGAAUAAUUUUUUAAAAAGCAAAUCUAAAUCACAACACACAUACUCCAGGAUCUGGCUCCAGCUCACUUCUAGAUUCCUACUGCCACAAUGCCAAGGUUCCCUACAGUCCAGCCCCAGAUACCUAAAAUGUGAAAGUGAUUCUGAAACUGUGAAUGGAUAGAAAACGCAGAAGGAAGUGAGGAGAACUGUUAACACCAGAGGAAGCGUAGAUAGUGAGAAUCAGCAGCAGAGGACUGGCAGCAGAAGCAGGAGACCAGUGCCAUACAUUGCUGGAGCUGACCCACGGAGUGAGAGGGCUAAAUACUUGUGCGCAGGUGGCGUCCUGGUGGAGUGGGAUGCCUCCAGGCACUUAUGGAUGGAGCUGGCUUGCUGACCCAUGGAGCCAGAGAGCUGAGUGCCUUUUGGCUGAAGUUUACUGGUGGAGCUACAGAGCUUUGAAACACAUGCCCCAGUAGGGCAGAUGCAGGCAUGAGGCCCGAGGGGCCAAGAGGCCAAGGAACCAGGAAGGAGAAGCUGAAGAGACAAGGAACUCAGGAAGCAGGUUCAAAAGGACAAGAAUCCCAGUAGCAUUUGGUUACAAAUUCUGGCGACUCCGCCGGGACGGCUGACUGUGAAACCCGGGGGGCGGUGAGUAUCAGGACCCCUGAUAGGCCUUAAGGCGCAUCCCGAUCUCAUUUGAUCGGUAAGGAGUCUUGGGCGGCUACCAUGAUUCUCACUGGGGACAAAGUCCGCUGCAUCCCCACCUCAGCUCGGGAACAGAAACUGGAUAGAAGACAAUUCAGAUAAAUUUUUACUUCGCCGAUUUUCUGAAAACAUUUGGCCAGAAUAUCUCAACAAAAAAUAUGGACUGUAUUGAACUGUGACUAAACUCAAUCAAGAUUUCCAGAACUCUGUACAGAAGCUGAUGGUUUUGCAAACUGCAGUCGAUCCAGAAUCACCUGCAACAGAAGUUAACUACAUAAGCUUAUGUGUCUUGGUGUAUGCCUUAAUGAGUUGAUGCCUUCUCCCCUGAAGGGCAGAGUCAUUUCAAGUGAUUCAAAAAUUCCAGCUCCAAAUGAUGGUUGCCCAGAAAUUUCAACCCAUCCCCCUAUCAAGAAGGGAGACGACAGCCUAAUAAAGGGCCACUAUAGAUACAAGAGAGAGAAAACUGUUUAACUCAGACAACACAAGAGCUCCACUUCUCUAGCCCUUAGACCUCUACAUCCCCAUCCAGCAAGAAGCAGCUAGAGAGACACAGCGCCCUGUUGCCCAAGACUGUGAAACCUACGACAAAAAGGGGGGAUUGAAACAGGCUGCUCAGCCAUAUUGAAAACCCCAAUCAACACCCCUUACCCCCUCUGUCUUGUUUUGAGCAGGAAGUCGCAGCAGGUAGUGGCUCCGUCCACUGACUAGCCCUAGUUACACCUUGAAGCAUGCACACAUUGAAAUCACAUCCUUCAACUGACCCCCCCCCCCGCCGCCCGCCCCCAAACAUAGGCACGGGAGGACUAAAGGCAGAAAAUUCCAGGUACCAAACCUAACCCCCUGACGCCAUUGGAAACAAAAAGCUCCCCAGCCCCCUUAGUCAGUGAGCACAUGGCCUUAAGGUCACUAGACCCCACGCGCUCCUUGUAUGCACAGACAAUAAACUUGCCACUUUCUGUUUCCAUUGCAGUCAGUGUCCGUCUUAUUUCAAUCAGUAAUAACACAGGACAAAAACCUGAGUGGGGUUCGGUUACGCCAUGAUGUACCUGCGAAUCUGAUUCUAGUGGCAAAAUUUUGAUUGACAUAUAACCCAUCACGGGCAUAUCCAUGGUGAAAAGUGAGAUAACACCAACCACAUCUGCAAUUUCUAAUGAUUUCCGCAAGUAGCUGUUUCACAUUGGUUCUUCUCAAAAUUAACUAGAACACUUUAAGCACUCUAAUUUACAGGUGAGAGAGAUCCUGGUUCAACAUAGGAAAUUAAGUUAUUAAAGCUGAGAGUAGCCUGACAAUGACAUUUACAGUGAAGACAAGAAUUCCUUCUCCAUACAUUUGCUGCAUUAAGGUCAAUUACCAAAUUUUAAUGCAGAUAACCCACACCUUCUCAGUUUGCUUACUAGCUGGGCCCUUUCCAGGUGAUGUGUUUUCAUAACCGUGCAAUGCCAGUUUUUUUUACAUGUUGCUAUAAAAAUUAACACAGCGUGCUUACGAAAACACCUCAUGGGUGGGGGACCUAAGUUUUACACCCAAAAAUAUGCAGUGCUACGGAAAGAGAUAAAAUUAAAACCAUCUUUUCUACACAAAACUGCUACGGAGGAAAGAGCCCUGCUCCGUGAAAUGCACUGGUAUCAGUUUCUAGUUGAGAGCAUAGUUUUACCAAAGACACUGAGAUGUCUUUAAGAGGCUGAAGACUAGGACUAGAGGACAAUCACAUAUUGAAGCCCCAGGAAAGAUAAAAAUUCAGUUGUUGGCUGUUUUCUCCUUCCUGACCCACUUCCGCACCUAAGUCAGGGCAUUCAGUAUUAUCAUGCUUAGGGUACGCUGUCUGCUGAGGUGUUCCACAAAUGUGCAACCGAAUGCUGGUACUAAAGUCUAGCUAACACGAAGAAAAACCGCUCACAUGAGCUGGUGAUACCCUGCUCCUCCUGAGACUCCAUCUAUCUCUAUAAUGGCAAAACCAACAAAUUGGUAGGAAAUCUGCCUAUAUCAUCUUUACAGUUACGGUACAGAGAAUAUUUUACCUGGCUAAAACAUUUAGAACAUAUAUAAACAUAUCUAAAACACGUAUAAAUUUGUGUGUGUAUAUAUACACACAUAUAUAUAUUUUAAAGUGCCCCAGAAGAUUCAGCAGGUAACCAUGAGAAAACAAUUUGAAAAUUCCAUUUUAGAUACGUGAGUAUAAAGGUCAGUUAUUGUGAUUCAGUCUUGACAUGAGAGUAAUAGUCCCUAAAAUCGUGAGGCUGCCACAGCAGAUAAUUCCAUCAGAAAUCCCGCAUUGAAGCAGGGAUGGUGUUUGUCAUGCUCACUGCUGUAGCUGAAGCACACAGAGGAGUGCUCAUUAAACAUCUGUCAAAUUAAUGAGUUAAUGAAUUUGAGUAGCUAAUGAACUUGAGAUCCAAGCUGAUGUCCAGCCAGGCUAAGUGAUUUGCUCAUGAUUCCACAAAUUACAUGUCAAGCGUUUCUAUGUUACUUCUGUCUCAAAAGAAGUUCAACCAGGAUGCUCCUUAGACACAAGGACAGCAAAAUUUUGUCUUAUGCACUUUGGACAUGUUAUCAGGAGGGACCAAUCCCUGGAGAAGGACAUCAUGCUUGGAAAAGUAGAGAGUCAGUGAAAAAGAGAAAGACCCUCAACAAGAUGGACUGACACAGUGACCACAAUAACGGGCUCCAACAUAGCAACAACUGUGAGGAUGGUGUAGGACCGGGCAGUGUUUUGUUCUGUUGUACAUACGGCUGCUAUGAGUCAGAGCAGGAACCUGUUUGUUUCUAGACGUUGUAGAAUCUCUGAGUCGUAGACCUUCAGUUGCCAAAACUGGGAAUGCUGAAAUCAUCUAUAUUGAAGCUCCACUACAUUCUCCUUCAAGCUAGUAUCUUAUCCACCCAGAGACAACUCCACCAGCCCGUUUUCUGGAAGGUCUUCCUGGAUCACUGUAGCCUUAAGAUACCUCUGCAGGCAAGUAAACUAAGAUAGCUGAAGGGAAGCAAAAUUCAAAAUGGGGUUUUCCAUACUGUGUCUAUAUUAGGAAAUCCUUACCCUCCUACUGUCAGUGUGGUUUAGAGUUGUUGAUUUUACUUGUCUAUAGAAGAAAUUCAUUUGAGCUAGAUAGUUAACGCUAAUCUUAAAUUUUCCCAAGUCUUAGAUGCUGGAAAAGAAAUGUCAAAGCUAAUAAAACCGUGACAGUAAUUAACCAAAUCACACACCAGAACAUUACUACAGCUCUUCAGCUAGUGCUGCUAAUAUAGACGCCCCAGCAGUACAAUGAAUUUUCGGUCUGACAAAGACUGAAACAUGUUAUUUGUCUAAGCAUGGCUCUAGCCGUAAAUAUUUAUGGACAACUGUUCCUCCCCGCCACAUCCCCCUGUAGCAAUGAAGUUUCCAGAUGUAUUAAUAAAAAAUACAGUUACUCGUAACUCCAAAAUGACCGUACUUCUUCAAGUGAGCUGUUCCUCCCCCAACCUUUACGAUUUAAAUGCUGAUUUCUUUAUUUUAUGAUUAAUUGCAGGAAAUUUAGAAAAUCCUGAUAAGUAAAUAAAAAUGUAUCCUAUCACUCAGUGAUAAACAAUGUUAAUAAUUUUGGUAUAUAGACUUCUGGUCUCUUUUCAAUACAAUCAUCCAAUUAUUAUUUUCGUCAUCAACAUUAUUACAAGUUAUACUUACUGUGCACCAGGUACUGUGCUAAACACUUUACAUGAAUUAUCUCAUAAUUCUCAAAACAACCAUUACCAUUUUACAGAUUGGGAAAUGGAAGCUUCUAGAGGUUAAGUGGCUUGG